AACAGGGGCGGAUCUAGGGGUCGUCAAAUCAGUCGCGCGACUGAAGUAAAAAUUGCCUACUUAAAAAAAUUUGACUCCAGCUAUCUAUCAGUGACCAGUAGAUCGAGUUACUAAAAUUUUGAAUCGUACCGGUAGUCCAGUUAUGCAUUUCAUGCUGCGGCAGAGCUUCGGCAAAGUAAUGUUAGUCAGUCACGAACAGCGGUCUUACGCAUGAAAGUUGACGGAUUCGGGGGUCAAAUCCGGCUUUCUGAUUGGCUGACAUGCUCAUUUCCAUGGUUACGGCCAUUGCGACGGAUCUGUGGGGAGGCCUGACGGAUUUGCAGAUUCAGGAGCUCUGUAUGAGCCUUCUGAUUGAACCAUUUAAAAACAUUCUGCACUGUCAUUGGCUUAUAUUUUCGACGGAUUCGCAACGUGAGGUAUUCGUCAACACCGCAUUAGUGUUUACCGAGUGUUUACUAUUUCGAACGUUUACUAUUACGAGCGAUUUCUACCAGCGAUAUCUGGAAACAUUUUCGACAAUGUUCAGUUUGCGAUUGCGGCAAACAAUUUGGAACCUCUAUACAACGUUUGUAUGCGGAGCUUGAAAAGAAUAUCGAUGCCUCACGGACGAAUUUUGUUGACAAGCUACUGAGCGGCGCCAUCAACAACACAAGCAGAAGCCUCGCUAGAAAUUUUGGCGCAGAGAGCUACUGCUAGAGAAAGACAAAGCUUGCACUGCAAUAAGGUAGAUAAAUUUAUGGUUUUAUAGUGAUGUAUCUUUAGUUCAUAUUAAAGGUUUAUAAACCGGAGUACCAAGCCAUCGGUGUUGUUAAUGAUUGUCUGACAUAUGAUAUUUUAAUAUAUUCGCUAUGCUGUAUUGCUGUAUUAGCAUAAUUCUCGCGUCAAGAAGCUAAAAUAUGUUAAUAUUCAAUGUCUACAUUGUGAGCAUUUGUUGAUUCUCAUGUUAGUGAAGUUUUAUUUAAAAUUUCUUUAUAUUUAUGCAUUAAUCACACAACAUGUACGCGUAACGCGUAUACGUGUAUUGUUUAUCCAUAGCCUAUCGACAUGGCUUGUUAGACCGCAUUGGUCGACGUCUGAUGUGACAUGAUGAUGUGAAAUAUUUAAUUGUAGGUAGCUUCAAAAGCUCUUUGACUGGUAGCCAUUCUGAUGUUACUAGUUUAUUAAUAGUAUAUUUUGUGUUCAAUAUAUAGACCACAGUAAGACUUUAUUAAUAGUAAGAGUUUAGUUUAUUAAUAUUUGACUUAACAUCUUUGACUUAGUUAAUGAAUAUGUGGUUGUUUUUUUGGAGCUCAGGCUACUGGCAACUACUUGUUAUGUAUAGUUCUGUGUUUUUGGUAAUUACAGAACAGUAUAUUUCCUUAAUGCAUUUGCUGCCAUAUAAUUUUAGACGUUUUACAAUGAUA
rnacentral:lncRNA from 1 species